GACAACUUGGCCGAGUGGUUAAGGCGACAGACUUGAAUUUCUAGCAUUUACGGUAUCUGUUGGGUUCGCCCUCACAAGUUCGAAUCUUGUAGUUGUCG